UACGUAGGGUGCGAGCGUUAAUCGGAAUUACUGGGCGUAAAGCGUGCGCAGGCGGUUUUGUAAGCCAGAUGUGAAAUCCCCGGGCUCAACCUGGGAAUGGCAUUUGGGACUGCAAGGCUCGAGUGCGGCAGAGGAGACUGGAAUUCCUGGUGUAGCAGUGAAAUGCGUAGAUAUCAGGAGGAAUACCGAUGGCGAAGGCAGGUCUCUGGGCUAUAACUGACGCUCAUGCACGAAAGCGUGGGGAGCAAACAGG
rnacentral:rRNA from 1 species